rnacentral:misc_RNA from 1 species
GAAAUGCGAUACGUAAUGUGAAUUGCAAAUUCAGUGAAUCAUCGAGUCUUUGAACGCACAUUGCGCCCCCUGGUAUUCCGGGGGGCAUGCCUGUCCGAGCGUCAUUUCUGCCCUCAAGCACGGCUUGUGUGUUGGGCCCCGUCCUCCGAUCCCGGGGGACGGGCCCGAAAGGCAGUGGCGGCACCGCGUCCGGUCCUCGAGCGUAUGGGGCUUUGUCACCCGCUCUGUAGGCCCGGCCGGCGCUUGCCGAUCAACCCAAAUUUUUAUCCAGGUUGACCUCGGAUCAGGUAGGGAUACCCGCUGAACUUAAGC